GUGCUUGUUUUGGCAGCACAUAUACUAAAAUUGGAAUAAUACAGAGAAGAUUAGCACGGUCCCUGUGCAAAGAUAACAAAAAAACAAAACAAAACAGUGUGGUAUUG
rnacentral:snRNA from 1 species